rnacentral:rRNA from 1 species
AGAGUUUGAUCCUGGCUCAGAACGAACGCCGGCGGCGCGUUUUAAGCAUGCAAGUCGAAGGACCUUUUAUCGCUUGCAGUAAAAGGGACUGGCGAACGGGUGAGUAACACGUGAGAAUCUACCCUAAGGUGGGGGAUAGCUUAUGGAGACAUAGGAUAAUACCGCAUAUGCCGAGAGGUGAAAGAGACUUUUGUCUCGCCAUGGGAUGAGCUUGCGGUCCAUUAGCUUGUUGGUAGGGUAAAGGCCUACCAAGGCUACGAUGGAUAGCCGGCCUGAGAGGGUGAACGGCCACAUUGGGACUGAGACACGGCCCAGACUCCUACGGGAGGCAGCAGCUAAGAAUCUUCCGCAAUGGGAGAAAUCCUGACGGAGCGACGCCGCGUGGACGAUGAAGGCCGAAAGGUUGUAAAGUCCUUUUAUAAGGGAAGAAUAAUGGCAGGAGUAGAAAGCUUGUCAGAUGACGGUACCUUAUGAAUAAGCUCCGGCUAACUGCGUGCCAGCAGCCGCGGUAAUACGUAGGGAGCAAGCGUUGUUCGGAUUCAUUGGGCGUAAAGGGCAUGUAGGCGGUUAUGUAAGUGUGGAUUUAAAGGCUUAGGCUUAACCUAAUGUUUGGUCUGCAAACUGCAUAACUAGAGUACAGGAAGGGAAACUGGAAUUCCACGUGUAGGGGUGAAAUCUGUAGAGAUGUGGAAGAAUACCGGUGGCGAAGGCGAGUUUCUGGCCUGUAACUGACGCUAAUAUGCGAAAGUGUGGGGAGCGAACAGGAUUAGAUACCCUGGUAGUCCACACCGCAAACGUUGCACACUAGGUGUUAGGGGGUUGCCUCUAGUGCCGUAGCUAACGCGUUAAGUGUGCCGCCUGGGGAGUAUGCUCGCAAGGGUGAAACUCAAAGGAAUUGACGGGGGCCCGCACAAGCGGUGGAACAUGUGGUUUAAUUCGACGAUACGCGAACAACCUUACCAGGGCUUGACAUCUAGAUGACGGGCACAGAGAUGUGUCUUCCCUUCGGGGCGUCUAGACAGGUGCUGCAUGGCUGUCGUCAGCUCGUGUUGUGAGAUGUUGGGUUAAGUCCCGCAACGAGCGCAACCCUUAUCGUUAGUUGCCAUCAGGUAAUGCUGGGCACUCUAGCGAAACUGCCGGUGACAAACCGGAGGAAGGUGGGGAUGACGUCAAGUCCUCAUGGCCCUUAUGUCCUGGGCUACACACGUGCUACAAUGGGCUGUACAGAGGGUUGCAAUACCGCGAGGUGGAGCCAAUCCCAAAAAGCAGUCCUCAGUUCGGAUUGGAGUCUGCAACUCGACUCCAUGAAGUUGGAAUCGCUAGUAAUCGCAGAUCAGCAUGCUGCGGUGAAUACGUUCCCGGGCCUUGUACACACC